rnacentral:rRNA from 1 species
GACGAACGCUGGCGGCGUGCCUAAUACAUGCAAGUAGAACGCUGAAGAGAGGAGCUUGCACUUCUUGGAUGAGUUGCGAACGGGUGAGUAACGCGUAGGUAACCUGCCUGGUAGCGGGGGAUAACUAUUGGAAACGAUAGCUAAUACCGCAUAAAAUGGAUUAUCGCAUGAUAAUCCAUUGAAAGGUGCAAAUGCAUCACUACCAGAUGGACCUGCGUUGUAUUAGCUAGUUGGUGGGGUAACGGCUCACCAAGGCGACGAUACAUAGCCGACCUGAGAGGGUGAUCGGCCACACUGGGACUGAGACACGGCCCAGACUCCUACGGGAGGCAGCAGUAGGGAAUCUUCGGCAAUGGACGGAAGUCUGACCGAGCAACGCCGCGUGAGUGAAGAAGGUUUUCGGAUCGUAAAGCUCGGUUGUAAGAGAAGAACGAGUGUGAGAGUGGAAAGUUCACACUGUGACGGUAUCUUACCAGAAAGGGACGGCUAACUACGUG